GCAUAGCUCAGUUGGCAAAGCAUGAGACUCUUGAUCUCAAGGUCAUGGGUUCGAGCACAUUGGGCA